rnacentral:rRNA from 1 species
GAUGAACGCUGGCGGCGUGCCUAAUACAUGCAAGUCGAGCGAACGGACGAGAAGCUUGCUUCUCUGAUGUUAGCGGCGGACGGGUGAGUAACACGUGGAUAACCUACCUAUAAGACUGGGAUAACUUCGGGAAACCGGAGCUAAUACCGGAUAAUAUUUUGAACCGCAUGGUUCAAAAGUGAAAGACGGUCUUGCUGUCACUUAUAGAUGGAUCCGCGCUGCAUUAGCUAGUUGGUAAGGUAACGGCUUACCAAGGCAACGAUGCAUAGCCGACCUGAGAGGGUGAUCGGCCACACCGGAACUGAGACACGGUCCAGACUCCUACGGGAGGCAGCAGUAGGGAAUCUUCCGCAAUGGGCGAAAGCCUGACGGAACAACGCCGCGUGAGUGAUGAAGGUCUUCGGAUCGUAAAACUCUGUUAUUAGGGAAGAACAUAUGUGUAAGUAACUGUGCACAUCUUGACGGUACCUAAUCAGAAAGCCACGGCUAACUACGUG